CCCCUUGAGAGUGGCGAACGGGUGAGUAAUAUAUCGGAACGUGCCCAGUCGUGGGGGAUAACGUAGCGAAAGUUACGCUAAUACCGCAUACGAUCUACGGAUGAAAGCGGGGGACCGUAAGGCCUCGCGCGAUUGGAGCGGCCGAUAUCAGAUUAGGUAGUUGGUGGGGUAAAGGCUCACCAAGCCAACGAUCUGUAGCUGGUCUGAGAGGACGACCAGCCACACUGGAACUGAGACACGGUCCAGACUCCUACGGGAGGCAGCAGUGGGGAAUUUUGGACAAUGGACGCAAGUCUGAUCCAGCCAUUCCGCGUGCAGGAUGAAGGCCCUCGGGUUGUAAACUGCUUUUGUACGGAACGAAAAGGUCUCUCUUAAUACGAGGGGCUCAUGACGGUACCGUAAGAAUAAGCACCGGCUAACUACGUGCCAGCAGCCGCGGUAAUACGUAGGGUGCAAGCGUUAAUCGGAAUUACUGGGCGUAAAGCGUGCGCAGGCGGUUAUGUAAGACAGAGGUGAAAUCCCCGGGCUCAACCUGGGAACUGCCUUUGUGACUGCAUAGCUAGAGUACGGUAGAGGGGGAUGGAAUUCCGCGUGUAGCAGUGAAAUGCGUAGAUAUGCGGAGGAACACCGAUGGCGAAGGCAAUCCCCUGGACCUGUACUGACGCUCAUGCACGAAAGCGUGGGGAGCAAACAGGAUUAG
rnacentral:rRNA from 1 species